GCAUUGGUGGUUCAGUAGUAGAAUUCUCGCCUUCCACGUGGGAGACCCAGGCUUAAUUCCUGGUCAGUGCA
rnacentral:tRNA from 1 species